UAGAUUUUAUAUAUAAUAAAUAAAUAGAUUUAAUAAUAGAUUUAGAAGCAAAUAUUUGACAAGAAUAUUAGGCACCUUUCUUCUGCUGGAGCGGGACCUUGCUUUAAUUAAUUUUGGCCAGUAACUUGUAAUUAAUUCUUUUUCUAAUGUAUCUCUUUAUUCUAACUAUAGAUUUGAGUGCCUGAAUUUCGAUCAGCAAUUUGGGAUGUUCUUCUGAUUCCCUUCUUUGGUGUAUCAGUAAAAAUUGGGGAAGUGGUAUCAUCCCAUUCUAAUCAAUCUAAAACCUUAGAAGUCUUGAGGUAAUAUUUCAGUUUCAUCUGAAGCCACAAUAAUAUUGAAAGGUUUUAUGAUACACAGAACAAAAAGUUUCAGAGUUUUCUGGCCUGGUAGUGUUAAUGACAUUAUCCAGGGUUUAUUUAUUUGUUUGCUCCUUGGACUAUUGCUUCUUUCAUUUGCUGUUUUGACAGAGCAAAACCACAGACUUUUACCAGAAGUCUGGGAAACACUAAAAAGCUUUUGCUUAAAAUAUCAUUUAGACUUGAUGGACUUAGAAUACAGAUCAGGAGCUGUUUUUCCCAAUGAAAAUGGGAAAAAUUCAAUGUUUUUGAAUCUACUGCUUUCAGAAUAUAUGAAACUUUGGCUGUUUGUUCUGUUCACUGAAUUCCUGAACAACUUAAUAAUUACUUGCUUUCAGCAGGGGAAAAAACUCUUCUCACCUAAAUUAUCCAUCUUAUUUAGGCAAAAGUAAGUGCCAGUGUUGAUGGUAGAGCACAGACUGAAGCAGUUGUGUUAGUCACUGCUCUCAGCUAGCACAGAAGGUUCUCACGUUGAAUCAGGGAGAUGUCAGCUGCAUCUCUGGGUAUUUUUAGCCCUUUCCUUAGGUUCUAAUUAGCAGUGUCUUAAAACACAGAGAAAAUUCAGAUGAUUCCUGGACUGGCUGUUUAUCUUUGUAGUAAAUGAGAAUAACAACUGUUUCUUACUAAAAAUGCUGUGUUUGAGUGCCCUGUUAGAAACAGUCUGGUCUGAUGAUGUAGGUCGGCUUCUGUAAAGUUGAAAAGGUUUAUAACAGAAGUUCUUGGAAGGGGCAUUCUCUGCUCUAAUGAUGUCAGGGUUUAGAUGUGUGUUUGAGGUGCUCCUGUAGCUUUUGGGAAAGGAAGUACAGCUCUGCUAGCCCUUCACCACAGAAUUCAGGGGUGUCUGCCUUCAUUAACAUCAGUGACCUAAUUAUUCCGUGCAUACCUGGGCUGGAAACCUUGGAUACAUUUUGAGCUCAGCUUGUGGGAUGCUACUGUUAACCCUUUUUUCAGUAUAAGAGAUAGCCAAUGUAUGCCCAAAUUUAAAUUCUGAUAUUCUUGAACUUUGCACAGCAUUUUUUUGAGAUUUGGUCAGUGCUAGAUUCCUUUCUCCACACUUAUUUUAAGUUGCACAGGGUAGGUGCUUGAAGGUUUUUAUUUCAAUAGGCAGAUAACAAAUUUAUAUAUAGGUCUGUUUGGCAGACUUAAUUACAUAUUACUGAGGAGAAAAAGAUUUGUGUGUUAGUUAAAUAAAAGAUAUCCUCACCUUUACAGGUACCCUGAAUUUAAGGUGUAGAACACGAACUGGGUCAUUAAAGGGAGCUGCCAGUGCUACUGUUUGAACAGUGACCAGAACACAUUUCACACAGCAGGUGACCAACUCUGGCCAGGUGGAACCCGCCCAGUUCAUGACUAGUUCCUGCUGUUUGCGUAUAUCCAAAGAAAGAAUAUAUAAAAUGUGUAGAUCAUAAUUCUGAAUAAUUAUAAGAAAGCACAGGGGGCAUUUCUCAAUGUGAACUCUGCAGUUUUUUGGCAGAAGCACAGGAGAAGUUGGAGCAGGCACUUCGUGCUUUCUGUUGCUGGUCUCUGGCCAUGUAGGAGGUUUAAUUCUCAGAUCUAUUUUUCUUCUGUCUUCCAAGAGAAUUGAAAUGUCACCGCUUCAAACUCAUGUUUUCAGAAUAAAAUGCACAGCCUCCGAAAAUACUCUAUUGACUGAGUAGUGCACCCACUUUAGGCCAGAUUUGUAAAGAAUCCAAGCCAAUUAAGCUGGCUCAGAUCUCACUUCUUUAAGACUCCUCCAUUCCAGAGCAAGAAUCAAUGUCAAGUGUUUCUGUUGACAUUCUGUGCAUUAUAAAAAAUCCUUCAGCCUCAUUUCUUUCCCUAAUAACAACAGACUGGUCCUUCUGACAAUCUUAGGGAUGGAUUUCAAAACAAAGGUUUCAUUUCUGAUUUUUAAAAAAAUCUAUACAUCUCAAGUAAAAAAAAUAAUAAAAGCACAUUGGCAAUGCAGGGUUCUUCACGGCUUGGCAUUGAGUGCUUUCUUUUACAUGGUGACAUGUGCAGAGCUUCUCAGACAAAAAUGAAUCAUGAGCAAAUGAUUUUUUUCUCUCACAGAGAGCACUGGAGAAAAAAUAGAACUGCAAAAUACCAAAAGAUUUUUCCCACAGGACAAAUAGAGGGAAGUAUAUUAGAGUUUUGUUCAGUAGAAAACUCUUAAUGGAUUGCAGAAAUUUCUGCUGGCUCACAGUGUGGCUUUUCUCGAGCUCUGAUCUGGGCAGAUGCAGCCCACCGGUUCCAGGGAGCCAAGAGCUCGUCCUGCCUGCAAUAACGAGACCUGCUGGGGAGCAGAGUGUGAGAAUUCAAGUGUCUGCACUGCUUCUGGGUGUGCAAAGAAAACCUUUUCUGCCUCUGACAUGUCCUGAGGACACACAGGUAAAAUCUAACCUGCUAGAAAAUUACUAAAAUGUGAGAAACCGCUCAUUAUUUAGUGAGUCAUGUCCUUAAUACGGCUGUAGGAUGAAGAAUAAUAAAGUAAUGUGUAAGAAAGAACUUGUGUUAUUCUGAAGGGAAGGUGAAUUAGUCAAAGUGUUGCAGAAGAACUUGAGCAUCUGCAGCACAACCAGAAUUUUAAACGCAGGCACAGAUUUAUUUUUUAGUUGAGCAUCAGAAAUUCAAUUCUAGUGUAUUCUGCAGGUGGAAAAUACUUACUAGGGAUUCAGACAGACAUAAAGAAUAUUCCUGUCAAAUUUACUCAUGGAGGAAUGUCCAUCUUUAAUUCAAAUGUCCGAGAUUGUUCAUGUACAGAUUUUUCUUGGGGCGCUUCUCAUUACCUCAGGUUCCCAAUGUUUUAUUUCAGGACUUCCCUAUAAUUUUUUUCCUCUCUCUUCCCUCAAUGUGCCAUCACCCACCCUUCACCUCCUGAGUGUAUCACAAGCUCCCCUUUCCCCUUCAGAAUGUAGCACUCAAUAUUUUUGCCUUUUCUCCAAGCUCUGAGAAGCCCAGCCUGGGCUCCCUCUCUCACAUCUUCCCCUGCACAUUUUGGCAACGUUCACCUGGAGCUGCUCCACGUGCCUUGAGGGGCUCCUACACUGCCCAAGGACACCUUGAUGCCUUUUGGGGCUACCUAAAAACAGAGGCCAGGCAGAAUUAAGGGAAUAACAAGCAGUUUCUAUUUAUUGAAGGGUCUCCAGGUACAUUUUGGGCUGCACCCAAAAAUGGCCAGUGGGUCCCAGGUCUGACACUUUUCUAAGCUGGCUCCAUUUGCACAUUGGGGGUUCAUCUCCCAAUUGCAGCUGCAGGGAAUGAAGUCAUUUAGGGCAGCUUUGCUGCCCCCAAGUCCCUUUUGUUUCCAUCUCUCAGGCCUGGGGCAGUGAGGUGUCCUUGAUUGCAGGCCUGGGGAGGAAUUGCUGUGUCUGAGCAGGAUGGGGAAGCAGCAGCUGAGCCUGCACAUGGAGUUUGGAGUCAGGCACUAAAGAACUGCAGCACUGCAAAUGGAUGGAAAAUACAAAAGCUGAAAUCCUAAGGCAUCAACCCAGGGACUCCCUGCAGGGAUGUGAGUCUGGCAUUCCCUGGGAUGCAGCAUCACCAUCUGCUGGCCCCAUCCCCUCAUACACUCUGCUAAAGAACAAGGUGAGACAGAAGAAAUCAGAAGAGGUCAGGGAUGUUCUGUGCAUGAAAACAAUUCUUUAAUGUUCUCCACCUGCUCUGUGCUCUGAAGGAAUUAUUGCACUCUUCUCUCCAAGAAGAAAGGUGAGAUAUGAAGUCCAAAUAGAAUAUUCCUGAGGUUUCUCAUUCCUUCGCUCAGGAUGGCUUCAGCAAUCUUAAUUGCCAUUAAUUAAAUGUCAUUUAAUCUCUUAAAUAACAGUAGAAAUCCAUUUAAUAUAUGAACAACUAUUGCACAAUGGAAAAAUACUCAGAGGUCCAAAGUUUUUCUAGAAAAAAAAAUCCCACCCUAUUUUUCAGCUGUAGCAUUGACAACAUAAAGUAAUUCCAAAGUAUGAGGACAGUCAAGGUGAUUAAUGUCUGUGUGUUAUAGAAACACAUCCUUUCAUUACUAUUUGUUUUUUUAUCCCAGUUUUAUGGAUCCUAUCCAUUAAAAAAGUGUCUAUAACCUUUACCAUCACAAAAACUCAAAUGUUCAUUUGCUUGCAAAUGAAGUUUUCUGUGGAAUUCCAGAUUGUUUUAACUUUUUGGCCGUGGAAUAAUGAUCAUAAUUCUCCCUCCCCUCAUCCUCAAUUUUAGCAUCAAUAUUCUGUUUACUGUAUAUGAACAAUAUCACAAAUGAUGACUGUAUAAAGUUGUUUUGUUCACUACAACAGAAAUAUCAUUUUAACAUUUUUUCUUGUGGUCAGUCCAUGUAAUCCUUAUUUACAGCACGAUUCAGUAAUUAAAAUGUUUCUCCUCCAAAAGCUUCCUUGCUGAAUUUUAGCAGGAAAUUGAAGGUGAUCAUAAUAUAUUGAGCACUAAGAAGGGGUGGGAAAUGUGUAUUUUUUCAGUCUAGAUUUAUACAAACAGUCCAGAAAUUAUGAUAUAAUGAGUAUCAGGCAGCCUUCAAGAGAAAUUAUAAACAACUUAAUUUUCAUUUAAGAGACUAUGUUAUAUAGUUUAUUUAAAGAUAUUUUUUAAGAUACCCAUUAAGGCUGUCUUCAGACCCGAUUUUGCUUUCAGUUGCCAAAUGUCUUGCUGAUUCACUUCUCUCAAAAAUUGGUACACUCAGAAGGAACUUGAAAAGAGUAAUCAGUUCAGUUUUGCAGCUGAUGAUUUCUGCAUUUACCCAAUUUGACCAUUUAAAAGAGCAGCGUAAGUGAAAUAAUCUGUUCCUAUAGCAACACCGAGAGUCUGGAGGAGCUUCCAUGCUGUAAAGAUGAUCUUGAAGCCUUAGAAAACCCUGCAAGAUAGAAACAAAAAGUAUGGACUGUGAGCCAGCCCAUCCCUGAUGAGCUGUAGGAGGACACAGCCUGUGUUAGGCAUUAGAAUGCCCUUUAUUAAUGUGCCUUUGCCUGGUUUUGGCAGGAGUUUCAGGAAUUGCAACGCUUGCCUCACUGCUGGCUUUGCCAAGCAGCUGAUGGUGGCAGUGGCAGCGUGCCUGGCUCGGGGAGGUUACAGCAUGAGCCAUGUGUUUAAACACUGAGGUGCUGGCAAGAGGCUUCUUGUGCAGAAUUAGAAAAUGAUUGGUUGUUUUUGUUUGUUGUCUGGCUUUUUUUUCUUGACAAGACUUACCUUUGUGUUUAUUCUCUUGUUGAAUCCUUGAAUUCCAAGUAAGGUGGUCUCUUCAUUUGCUUCUUAUAUUUUUAUAGCUGGGAGAUGAAAUUACUCCUUGUUGAAAGACAAACUCAGAGUGCUUGUGAGUGGUCAGCUGUCCUGGUGAGCAGUGCUUCACCAGUCUUGUACAACAAAACACACAAGGGAAAUCUGGGCUUCACCAUUCAUGAAUGAUGAGGGUAAAGAACUUUGGAGAAUGGAAGUAUGAAAUCUAUAAGGAUGAAAUUUAUAAGGAUGAAAUCUGUCACUAUUUGUUACAGUUAAGUUUUUUCUUCUGUCUCCUUUUGUACUUCCAUUACCUUUCCCUGACUGGACAGUGAUCUGCAUUUUAAUGAAAAUUGUCUUUUCUCAUGGUCAUUGUUGUAGAACAGCACUAGUGGAGAAUGAACCUGCUGAAGCCAAAAGCGUUGGAAGGGCUCUCACCAGGAGAGAGCACAAAGUCAGAACUGCAAAUAGAAAUAAGUGGAAGCACACAAAUAUCUGAUAAAUGAAUAACGAUGGUUUUUUCUUAAUAACAUUUCUGAAGUUUAAUGUAGAUGCUGCAGUACAAUUCACAGCUGCCAAAUUAUUGUUUGUGUUGAAAGUCUGUAUUAACAAUUUCAUCAGUACAGCAUGUCUAAGAUGAGGAAAAAAAAGGAUGGAGCUGAAAGACAAGGUUUCUAGCAGUUGAAAACCUCCAUUUUGAGACACACAUGAUUAAAUUAUAUAUAAUAGGAUCCAAAUUUCGGGGAGGGGGAAGCUGAAGUCUAAUCCUAAAGAGGGGUAUAAUUUAUAUAUAAUUUAUAUACAAUUUAUAUAUAAUUUAUAUAAUUUAUUGAUGCAUUGGACUGCUUAUUGGGGAAAACCUUGUGAUUUCUUCAUCCUCAUUUGUUCCUCAGUGUGACCCUGCCCAGCUGCUGGGGGUGCCCGCAGGUUUAGGCUGGGGCAGCUCCUGGAGCUGCAAACUCUACUCUGGAUCGGGCAGUGAUGGUUUCCAGCAGCAGCAAACACCAGGCAGCCCUCAGCAAGUAAUCCCCUGAUCUGUGGAGAUGGGAGAGAAUAACAGUGUUCCCCUUUCAGGACAAGUAAACUAGAAAAUGACUUGGGUGUCCACGAUGAUGACAACACAGGGAUGACUGAGAGAACAAUUACUGGGAUGAUAGUGGCAAAAAUGAUGGGCUGGACAUGGCCAGUGGUGACUCAGAGGCUGGCUUGGAUCUGCACUUGGAUGAGAACAGCUCAGAAGGAGGAAUGAUGAAAUGUAUGCUGGUUUGUGAGUUGGAGCUUUCUCCCACUUUCCCUUCAGAGGACCUGAGAGAACAGAAUCUUAUUUCAUAACUGUUGGAGAUCCUGUGCUGCUCUAGUGCAUAACUCUGAAAUUCCAUAGCCUGUCAUUUUAUUCAGGCAAAACCAUCCCUCUCUAGGCCUGGAUCUCAGGGAUACCUCAGUGCCCCAGGCCCCAAAAAGUCUGACCAAAAGUGAGUUGUGGGGAGCAAACUGGGGCUGAAUGACUUCAUUGCCUGCAGCUGGAAUUGGAGGAUGAAGCCCGAUCUGGAACUGGAGCAAACUGGUAAUUGUGUGAGAAACUGGUGCCCAUUGUCCGUGCUGGCUGCAGCCUCUGGGAGGCUUUGGCUGCCCGAGGUGUGCCUGGGGAAGGCCUUCAAUAAAUGCCCACUUUAUUCCCUUCCCCUUGCCUGGCCUCUGCUCUGGGCAGCCCCUCCAGGCCCCACGGCCCUGCUGGGGGCUCCAGGGAUGCUGAACCUUUUCUCUUGGUGGCCAUGGGGAAGGGCCCGAGCUCCAAGCUGUGUUUGCUGCCCUGGCUUUGCUCCCUGUUGGGUUUUGGGUGCUGUCCCUGCAGGCAGAGCUGUCACCUGCUGUGACACCUCUGUCCUCUGCUGUGUUUCACACCACUGACAGAUCUUCAAUUAAGCCACUGAAUUGAAAACAAAUUCACUUUUACUCUGUGUUAUAAAUCCAUAUUGUGAUAUUGGCUAUUGCAAGUAUUAAGAUGAAUGUUAUAUGUUAUAUGCUUUUGCUAUGUCUUUUUAUUAUGCUAGCAAGUCUUAGGUGUAGGUUAAGAAGAAUUUUGGAAUUUAGGGCCAUGUCCUGUCUGUGCAAAGCCAGAUAACCUCCAGGAAACAAAUGAUGGGGCCCAGGCUGUUAUCAACACUGACCGACUGCAGAAGAAGGAACCCCAGCCCAAAUAAAAAUGUGAUAAAGGGAAAUAAAAUCUUUAAGACACGUGCUCUAAAAAGGUGGAUUCAGGGUGUAGCCAUGCAAAAUACUUCUUGGAAAAGUAUGAAUAUGCAUUAAAACCCCACAGCAGAAUGGGAUAAAAAGAGUGUUCCAAAGGUAUCAGGUGCGUUCCUGGCAGCACACCAGG